GAUCUAGUCGUUACAGAUCUAGUCAGAUAGCGGAUCUAGUCAGACAGUGGAUCUAGUCGUUACAGAUCUAGUCAGAUAGCAUAUCUAGUCAGACAGUGGAUCUAGACGUUACAGAUCUAGUCAGAUAGCAUAUCUAGUCAGACAGUGGAUCUAGACGUUACAGAUCUAGUCAGAUAGCGGAUCUAGUCAGACAGUGGAUCUAGACGUUACAGAUCUAGUCAGACAGUGGAUCUAGACGUUACAGAUCUAGUCAGAUAGCGGAUCUAGUCAGACAGUGGAUCUAGACGUUACAGAUCUAGUCAGAUAGCGGAUCUAGUCAGACAGUGGAUCUAGACAUAGCGGAUCUAGUCAGACAGUGGAUCUAGACGUUACAGAUCUAGUCAGACAGCGGAUCUAGACGUUACAGAUCUAAGAAACAGCUAGCAGCUGGAAGACAACCCUUGUUAUCAGAAGUGGAAGAUGAACUGCAGAUCAGAAGGAGAAGUGGAACAGAGAUUGUGAACAAAGAGAAAAGAGGUAUACUGUUCCAACACAGUGCUUUGUUGGAAAAUUAAAGGGUUAAAACAAACAGAAAUCAAUGAAAUCAAAACCCUGUGCUGACAUCUAAUCGUUAGAAAAUUUGGCAGCAUAAAUUGAUGAUGAUGAUGGCGUGAUGAUGAAGGUGGUGGUGGAAGUGUCCAGUACAUUCCCACCAUUGGAUCUGGACCCCACCAACAGAACACGGACCACAAGCAGAGCAACAGACACCCAUGAUUGGUCAAUCACUCUGGAGUUCCAAUGACAAUGGAAAAAUUGAAAUGAUGUAAAAUAAAAAAAUAAUAAAAAUGAAAUAAAUAAAACAAACAAAAGAAAACAACGUAAUAAAUUGACAUAUUGGCAAAUCAAAGAAGAAGAAAAGAUUUGUGUAAAAAAAAAAGCUUUUAUAAAACACUACAGAAUGCAGCAAGUGUCCGUUGCUCUUUAGUUUUGUUGUUGCAGACAGAUGUGAGGUUGCCAUGGUGACCAUAAGAAGCCCGUGUAAG
ensembl:lncRNA